rnacentral:rRNA from 2 species
GGCGGGGUCCCACCUCUUCCCAUUCCGAACAGAGAAGUUAAGCCCGCCUGCGCCGAUGGUACUGCAAUGCAAUGCGGGAGAGUAGGAGGCCGCCAUCU